GGAAGGAACCAACGGCUCCAUUCAAAGUCGCCAAAAGUCCAGGAGGUGCAGCUGCUGCGCAGUAAAUCGAACUGGCAACAGCCAUCAUGUGGACAGUGACGGCCUCUAAUGCUUCGAAAGGAAGACUUAACCAUGGAUCCCUCUUUUAAGAGACAAUCAUUUAAUUCGAGCUGAACUGAACUUACCAAAUGAAAGAGUAG